AGAACGAACGCUGGCGGCAUGCCUAAUACAUGCAAGUCGAACGAACUCUUCGGAGUUAGUGGCGCACGGGUGCGUAACGCGUGGGAAUCUGCCCUUGGGUUCGGAAUAACAGUUGGAAACGACUGCUAAUACCGGAUGAUGACGAAAGUCCAAAGAUUUAUCGCCAAGGGGAUGAGCCCGCGUAGGAUUAGCUAGUUGGUGAGGUAAAGGCUCACCAAGGCAACGAUCCUUAGCUGGUCUGAGAGAUGAUCAGCCACACUGGGACUGAGACACGGCCCAGACUCCUACGGAGGCAGCAGUAGGGAAUAUUGGACAAGUGGGACGAAAGCCUGACUCCAGCAAAUGACCGCGUAGAGUGAUGAAGGCCGUUAGGGUU
rnacentral:rRNA from 1 species